GGGAGGUAGUGACAAUAAAUAACAAUACGGGGUUCUUUCGGAUUUCGUAAUUGGAAUGAGUACAAUUUAAAUCUCUUAACGAGGAACAAUUGGAGGGCAAGUCUGGUGCCAGCAGCCGCGGUAAUUCCAGCUCCAAUAGCGUAUAUUAAAGUUGCUGCAGUUAAAAAGCUCGUAGUUGAAUUUCGGGGUUAGUAAGUUGGUCGUGCCUUCGGUAUGUACUGGCUUUACUGAUUCCUCCUUCUUGACGAACCGUGAUGUCAUUAAUUUGGUGUCGUGGGGAAUCAGGACUGUUACUUUGAAAAAUUAGAGUGUUUAAAGCAGGCUCACGCUUGAAUACAUUAGCAUGGAAUAAUGAAAUAGGACGUUUGAUCCUAUUUUGUUGGUUUCUAGGAUUGACGUAAUGAUUAAUAGGGAUAGUUGGG
rnacentral:rRNA from 1 species